ensembl:lncRNA
AGAAAUUGUCUGAAUUUGUUACGCCUGCGAUUGCACUGCUUUUACAGUGUUUGUGAGCUCUGUAGUGUGUGAGCUGCUGCUAGCUCCGGUUUUGUGCAUCCCAAGCAGAUUUUAGCUAAGUGACCUGGGCUGCAGAUGGACAAUUUCUUUCCAGUCAUUUCACCACAGCCCUUACCAGCACCCUGGUGAUGAAGCAGUGCAGAUGAGCAUGGCUGUUAACCCUCCAAGCAGAACUUUUUGGUUAACUCUGUUGUGCUUGUCCCAGUGGAGAGCCUGGUGGUGGUGGAGGAGCUCUGCCGGGGGUGCUGGGAUCUUCCUUUGGCUCUUGGGGGGAGCUAGCAGAGACAACACUGCUGCUGGAUGUCAGCAAGAACCUCCACUGUACAGAAGCAGUUUGGCUUCAGCCUGUGAAGUGACGUCAGAACCCUGAGAGUCCCUUUCACUUCACCCUGGGUCAGUUCACAGAGUUUUGAUGGAAGUGUGGAAGAGGGAGCUCCUCUUCAGUGUCUUCACUGAAUCUCAUCAAAGGAUUCAUGCCUUCAACAGAACCUACCAUUCUCAAGGUGUGUGGGGAUUGCAACACUGUGCUUGCAUGCACUGUAGUGUUGUAGCCAAGGGCAGUGGCUGACAGCAGAACCAGAUGGGAGAGAGCAGAAGAGGCAUUUCUCCCUGUGAAAUGAGUGAAAAGGCCAUAGCUCUUCAAUUAAAUGUAACUUCCCUACGGCAUGAUGAUCAGUGCUGCACUGCCUACAGCACCAACUGAAAUAAGGAAUGAGCUUCCCUUUGCAAGCGGCAAGAAAAUUAAGAAAUGGCUGUUCCCUAUAUCCUGCCCUAUUGGAGUGGUGGUGAAGUGUUAAUGGGUCACAGAGCACAAGGAUGGCUGUGUUGUAGCUCAGAAAGGGAAAGGGGAAACGUGACAAAGUAGUAAAGGCAUCAUCUCUGAAAAUAAUAAAUCAUAGCUAUCGGUGUAUAAAUAAUAAAAGUAAUCAGCACUAUCUGCAAAGCGUCC